CCCUACGGGGCGCAGCAGGCGCGAAACCUCCGCAAUGUGAGAAAUCGCGACGGGGGGAUCCCAAGUGCCAUUCUUAACGGGAUGGCUUUUCAUUAGUGUAAAGAGCUUUUGGAAUAAGGGCUGGGCAAGACCGGUGCCAGCCGCCGCGGUAACACCGGCAGCUCUAGUGGUAGCAAUUUUAUGGGCCUAAAGCGUCCGAGCC
rnacentral:rRNA from 1 species